CUGGAAUUACAGCAGGAGGGAUUAAGGUUAGACACUUAGUUCAACCAGAUAAAGCAGUCACUUGGAUCGUUUACUCUGGGAGGGAUUCAGUCUGAAGUUGUAAACAGGUUUAACAAGGCUUAGAGAAAUCCACAGAAACUGCACACAAAUGGAGAAGUAUGGGAAAGAUCCCUCCUUCCUCUGUUGGUGAUUUCAUGGACCACUAAAGCUGCUGACAGAUGAGAUAGAGUGCAGGAUGCUAAGAAAACUCCCUCCCCCAGCCCUGCAACUGCUGCACCCCCGUUCAUCCAGGCCAAGGCCUUCCUUCCUUGUUGAAUGGAGUGGAAGAUAUAUUCAUCUUGCCCAAAAUCAUCUAAAAGGUCCCAGAGAGUUGGAACAAGAGGAGAAUGAGGAUGCAAGACAACUUGAACACAAGGCCCCAGCAAGGCAGCUGUCUCAUCCUGAGUUCAGCCAAUGAAACUACAGUCAAAUUCAUGCUAGAGGGGAGCUCGCUGUGUUGAAUGUACCGAGGAUGUUCUAGGAUAUUGGUCUCCAACAUGGCACCUCCAUAAAGGAUUUUCAAACUUAGGACACCCUGAGGGUCCCAAUUUUCUUUUUUGGCCACGCAGUGUGGCCUGCAGGAUCUUCCCCAGCUAGGGAUCAAACCCGCACCCCCUGCAGUGGAAACACGGAGUCUCAACCACUGGGUCGCCAGGGAAGUCCCAUACAGGAUUUUUAAAAGAUGAUUUUAACUAUUCCCAGUGUUCUCCUUAUGUGCUGACCUUAGAACCAACUUCCACAUAUGUCAGGACUCCAUCUAACUUUCUAUGGCACAAACCUCCCCAGUAACAACUUUUUUGCAAGCUCCUUGAAAGCAGGGUCUGUUUCUGUUUACUGCAGAAGUGCCGUUCCGUGGUACUUGGCACAUUGUAGGUCCUUAGUAAAUGCUGUAAUUAUGAUUAGUAAAUGUUGCUAACUCUUCAGUCUUACCUGCUUUCCACAAAUGUUUUGUUUAAAGAACUCUUCUAAAAAGUAACUAUUGAGACAUACCUUACAUGCAAUAAAAUGCAUCCAUAAAUGUAUAUUUUGAUGUGUUUUGACAGAUAUAUACAUCUGUGUAACCACCACCGCUAUCAAGAUACAGAACAUUGCUGUCACUUCCAAAAGUUUCCUCAUGACCCAUUCCUGACAAUACCUUCCACCUCUGGCCUCAGUCCACACUGAUCUGCUUACUGUCACAGUAGACUAGAUUUGCCUUUUCCAGAGAUUGAUAUAAAUGGGAUCAUAUAGUGUGUAGUAUUUUGUAUCUGGCUUCUUUUACUCAGUGUAACAUUUUUGAGAUUCACCCAUGUGUAUACGAGUAGUUCACUUCUUUUGGCUGUGGAUCAGUGUUCUAUUG